CAGCAGCCACGGUAAUACAGAGGGUGCAAGCGUUAAUCGGAAUUACUGGGCGUAAAGCGCGCGUAGGUGGUUUGUUAAGUUGGAUGUGAAAGCCCCGGGCUCAACCUGGGAACUGCAUCCAAAACUGGCAAGCUAGAGUACGGUAGAGGGUGGUGGAAUUUCCUGUGUAGCGGUGAAAUGCGUAGAUAUAGGAAGGAACACCAGUGGCGAAGGCGACCACCUGGACUGAUACUGACACUGAGGUGCGAAAGCGUGGGGAGCAAACAGGAUUAGAUACCCCAGUAGUCCCUGUCUCUUAUAA
rnacentral:rRNA from 1 species